rnacentral:misc_RNA from 1 species
AUUUCUUCUGCCCUCCAUGUUUUCUAUGCAUUCACCACUGAAAAUGAUGGAAUUUAUUUAUUUUACUUUUAUCAAGUUUCUAACCAAAAAACAUUUUUUCCCCUUCAAUGCCAGAUCUACCAAUUGCAAGGAAAGCUUCCCUUCACUGGUUUUUGGAAAAGAGGAAAGAUAGGAUCACUGCAUAGGUCUUUUGUGCAAAUAACCUAUCAUGUACAGAAACAAAAAGAGGGAAAAGAAAAAUCCUGCCAUUUGUUUGUCUGAAGUUUGCUGUGAUAUGAUUGUAAUUGAUCUCCUAUUAUGUUUCCCUGUUCUGGGAUCUUACUAGAUGAAGAUCAUUACAACAGGUCAUUGUAUUGAUGACUAUAUAUAAUAGAAUUACGAAAGAUUUUUUUUUUUUUUUAGAUUCAACAAGGU